ACACACUUGAGAAGCUCUCCAAAAGAAACCACCUAUAAAAAGCCCCGCAUGCAAAACUUCACAGCAUUUGUGUAUCAAACAAACACUAAGACCAUCCAAAUGUCUACCAGCUAAGGAAUUUGUAAACAGCCCUGAACCAGCAACAAGAGGAAACUACUGACACAUGCUGCUGGUCAGCAUGCCUCAGAAACACUGUGGUAAGCAAAAGCUGCCAGAAGGAAGCCAGCCAGGGUGGGGCCGUGUACAUGAAAUCUCCUCAGAAGGCAAUCUUCAGAGAGAAUAUAGAGCUGGGAUUUGUCUGGAGAAGGGAUGGGGACAGGCUGCAAACUUUCCAUGAUGGAAAUCUUCCAAGACUGCAUGCAAUGGCAGUUGUGGAAGGAUGGAGUCCACCAUAGUGGAAGCACAUGGAGCAAGAGCAGAAGCCCAGCCAAUGAACUGCACCAACACACAGAAGCACAAAGUGAAUAAGAAAUGGAAACCCAGCACCUCAACGCUCACCCGGGGAUCCACUUCCUCUACUGAGGUGCCACCUCCUGAAGGUCCCACAACCUUCCCAACCAGCUCCAGCAGCUGUGUCUUCAAACAUGUGACCUUGUGGGGAACACUGCACAUUCAAACUACCACAGUAUUUAACUGUAGUUUUCCUGUCUUAAAACAAAACAAAGUAAAAGUGCAGGAUGAAUCUUA